GGAAUAUUGCGCAAUGGAGGAAACUCUGACGCAGUGACGCCGCGUAUAGGAUGAAGGUUUUCGGAUUGUAAACUAUUGUCGUUAGGGAAGAUAAAAGACAGUACCUAAGGAGGAAGCUCCGGCUAACUACGUGCCAGCAGCCGCGGUAAUACGUAGGGAGCAAGCGUUAUCCGGAUUUAUUGGGUGUAAAGGGUGCGUAGACGGGAAGACAAGUUAGUUGUGAAAUCCCUCGGCUUAACUGAGGAACUGCAACUAAAACUAUCUUUCUUGAGUGCGGGAGAGGAAAGUGGAAUUCCUAGUGUAGCGGUGAAAUGCGUAGAUAUUAGGAGGAACACCAGUGGCGAAGGCGACUUUCUGGACCGUAACUGACGUUGAGGCACGAAAGUGUGGGGAGCAAACA
rnacentral:rRNA from 1 species